UCAACAAAUUGACAAUGCAUCUUGUUAAAAUUUACAUUUCAGCCCCUUGCAGUUAAUUGGAAAAGUAUUAUAGUAUCAUUUUGUUAUUACAGGAAAGAGAUACUGCUCUUAUUGUAUCAGCAAGAGGAGGAGAUUAUGAGACUGUAAAAGUACUGCUGGAUAAUGGUGCUGAUCCAAACAUAGGCCUAGAAUCGGAAUAUCUUGCACCACUGAUUGAAGCAGCAAGAGAAGGACAUAUUAAUGUAGUUGAACUAUUAUUAUCCAAAGGAGCUGAUCCAAACUGUAUAGAUCAAGAAGGAGAUACUGCUCUUAUUGUAUCAGCAAGAGGAGGAGACUAUGAGACUGUAAAAGUACUGCUGGAUAAUGGCGCUGAUCCAAACAUAGAAAUGGACCCAUACUAUGUAGGUGGUACUACAGCACUGAUGGCAGCAGUAAACAACAAACAUCAUCAUGUGGUGGAACUUUUAUUAACCAAAAUAACUCAUUUAAGCUUAAUGUAUAAUGAAGGAGACAUUGCUCUUAUUGUAUCAGCAAGAGGAGGAGACUAUGAGACUGUAAAAGUACUGCUGGAUAAUGGAGCUGAUCCAAACAUACACCUAAAACAGAAAUAUGUU